GUCACUUUGCCGGAGUGGUUAACGGGAUCGCCUGCUAUUCUAUAGCAUUAUAGCGGUUGUGCUUUGCACGCGAGUGUUCGAAUCGCUCAGGUGACG
rnacentral:tRNA from 1 species